CCGGCCUAGUGGCGGACGGGUGAGUAACGCGUGGGCAACCUGCCCCAUACCGGGGGAUAACAGCCGGAAACGGCUGCUAACACCGCAUAAGCGCUGGGGGCCGCAUGGCUCCCAGCGGAAAACUCCGGUGGUAUGGGAUGGGCCCGCGUCUGAUUAGGCAGUUGGCGGGGCAGCGGCCCACCAAACCGACGAUCAGUAGCCGGCCUGAGAGGGCGGCCGGUCACAUUGGGACUGAGACACGGCCCAGACUCCUACGGAAGGCAGCAG
rnacentral:rRNA from 1 species